GUCCACGCCGUAAACGAUGUCGACUAGCCGUUGGGAUCCUUGAGAUCUUAGUGGCGCAGCUAACGCAUUAAGUCGACCGCCUGGGGAGUACGGCCGCAAGGUUAAAACUCAAAUGAAUUGACGGGGGCCCGCACAAGCGGUGGAGCAUGUGGUUUAAUUCGAAGCAACGCGAAGAACCUUACCUGGCCUUGACAUGCUGAGAACUUUCUAGAGAUAGAUUGGUGCCUUCGGGAACUCAGACACAGGUGCUGCAUGGCUGUCGU
rnacentral:rRNA from 1 species